rnacentral:rRNA from 1 species
AUUGAACGCUGGCGGCAGGCCUAACACAUGCAAGUCGAACGAGUGGCGGACGGGUGAGUAAUGUCUGGGAAACUGCCUGAUGGAGGGGGAUAACUACUGGAAACGGUAGCUAAUACCGCAUACCAUCUGAUGUGCCCAGAUGGGCUUUGCUUGUUGGUGGGGUAACGGCGCACCAAGGCGACGAUCCCUAGCUGGUCUGAGAGGAUGACCAGCAACACUAGAAGUGAGACACGGUACGGACUCCGACGGGAGGCAGCAGUGGGGAAUUGUGCACAAUGGGAGGAAGCCUGGUGCAGCCAUGCCGCGUGUAGUGAGAAGGGCUGCGGGUUUGAAAGGUAAUUCAGCGGGGAGGCUUUACCCGCAGAAGAAGCACCGGCUAACUCCGGGCCAGCCGCCGCGGUAAUUC